rnacentral:rRNA from 1 species
AUUGAACGCUGGCGGCAGGCCUAACACAUGCAAGUCGAACGAGUGGCGGACGGGUGAGUAAUGUCUGGGAAACUGCCCGAUGGAGGGGGAUAAGUACUGGAAACGGUAGCUAAUAACGCAUACCAUCGGAUGUGCCCAGAUGGGAUUAGCUAGUAGUAGGGGUAACGGCUCACCAAGGCGACGAUCCCUAGCUGGUCUGAGAGGAUGACCAGUCACACUGGAACUGAGACACGGUCCAGACUCCUACGGGAGGCAGCAGUGGGGAAUAUUGCACAAUGGGCGCAAGCCUGAUGCAGCCAUGCCGCGUGUAUGAAGAAGGCCUUCGGGUUGUAAAGUACUUUCAGCUAGGAGGCGUUACCCGCAGAAGAAGCACCGGCUAACUCCGUGCCAGCAGCCGCGGUAAUAC